CUACGGGUCGCUGCAGUGAGGAAUAUUGCACAAUGGGGGGAACCCUGAUGCAGCAACGCCGCGUGGAGGAUGACGCAUUUCGGUGUGUAAACUCCUUUUAUAUGUCAAGAAAAUGACGGUAGCAUAUGAAUAAGCACCGGCUAACUCCGCGCCAGCAGCCGCGGUAAUACGGAGGGUGCAGGCGUUACUCGGAAUCACUGGGCGUAAAGGACGCGUAGGCGGGUUGGAAAGUCUGGUGUGAAAUCCUACAGCUUAACUGUAGAACUGCACUUGAAACUUCUAAUCUAGAGUAUGGGAGGGGGAGAUGGAAUUAGUGGUGUAGGGGUAAAAUCCGUAGAUAUCACUAGGAAUACCUAAAGCGAAGGCGAUCUCCUGGAACAUUACUGACGCUAAGGCGUGAAAGCGUGGGGAGCAAACAGGAUUAGAUACCCUAGUAGUC
rnacentral:rRNA from 1 species